rnacentral:rRNA from 1 species
GAUGAACGCUAGCGGCAGGCCUAAUACAUGCAAGUCGGACGGGAUUCAGGAGCUUGCUUCUGAUGAGAGUGGCGCACGGGUGCGUAACACGUAUGUAACCUACCUUUAUCAGGGGGAUAGCCUCUCGAAAGAGAGAUUAAGCCCGCAUAAAGUCACAGCACAGCAUUGUGUAAUGAUCAAAUAUUUAUAGGAUAAAGAUGGGCAUGCGGAACAUUAGCUAGAUGGCGGGGUAACGGCCCACCAUGGCGACGAUGUUUAGGGGAUCUGAGAGGAUGGCCCCCCACACUGGUACUGAGACACGGACCAGACUCCUACGGGAGGCAGCAGUAAGGAAUAUUGGUCAAUGGGCGGAAGCCUGAACCAGCCAUGCCGCGUGCAGGAAGACGGCCCUACGGGUUGUAAACUGCUUUUAUACGGGAAUAAACCCAGAUACGUGUAUCUGGCUGAAUGUACUGUAAGAAUAAGGAUCGGCUAACUCCGUG